UAUUGGGCUAUUCCAUUUAAUAUCCGUACCCCCCCCUGUCGAGGAUCCCUGGAAUUCUUCAGGGGUAAAGAGUUUUGAGCUUGGAAUUCUUCAGGGGUAAAGUGUUUUGAGCUUGGAAUUCUUCAGGGGUAAAGUGUUUUGAGUUUGGAAUUCUUCAGGGGUAAAGGGUUUUGAGCUUGGAAUUCCUCAGGGGUAAAGGGUUUUGAGUUUGGAAUUCUUCAGGGGUAAAGAGGUUUGACUUUGAAAUUUUUCAGAGCUUGGAAUUCUUCAGGGGUAAAGGGUUUUGAGUUUGGAAUUCUUCAGGGGUAAAGGGUUUUGAGUUUGGAAUUCUUCAGGGGUAAAGGGUUUUGAGCUUGGAAUUCUUCAGGGGUAAAAGGUUUUGAGCUUGGAAUUCUUCAGGGGUAAAGGGUUUUGAGCUUGGAAUUUUGGAAUUCUUCAGGGGUAAAAGAUUUUGAGCUUGGAAUUCUUCAGGUGUAAAGGGUUUUGAGCUUGGAAUUUUGGAAUUCUUCAGGGGUAAAAGGUUUUAAGCUUGGAAUUCUUCAGCGGUAUAACCAUGAAAAACAUGUAUCCUCGACAGGGGGUGAACGGAUAUUAAAUGGAAUAGCCCAUUUU